GGGAAACGGUCGCGUAGCGAUGACGUCGCGGGGGCCUGGCCGGGCGUCGGGGACUCAGGAGAUGGAGGAAAAGGAGAUAUUACGGCGGCAGAUCCGCCUCCUGCAGGGUCUGAUCGAUGACUACAAAACCCUCCAUGGCAAUGCCCCAGCCCCAGGCACGCCAGCAGCUUCCCAAUGGCAGCCACCCACUUACCACAGUGGCAGGGCCUUCAGUGCCCGCUACCCUCGUCCAAGCCGGAGGGGCUACUCCUCACACCAUGGCACUUCCUGGCGCAAGAAAUACUCCCUUGUGAAUCGGCCUCUGGGACUCUCAGACCCACCUGGCGACCAUGCUGUGCAGCCAUUGCACGGGGCUAGGGGUGGCCAGGCCCCUGACCCACAGCAGCAUGUCCUUGAGAGACAGGUCCGGCUCAGUCAAGGUCAGAACAUGGUCAUCAAAAUUAAACCUCCAUCAAAGUCUGGCUCUGCCAAGGCCUCAGGGGCCCAGCGGGGCUCUUUGGAAGAAUAUGAGGACACCUCCUGGAGUGACCAAAGGCCCCAGGAAGGUGAAGGUGAGCCCCCUGGGGGACAGCUGCAGCCCUCAAGACCAGCAAGAGCCAGGGGCACCUGCAGUGUGGAAGAUCCUCUUCUGGUCUGCCAGAAGGAGCCUGGUAAGCCCAGGGUGGUGAAGUCUGUGGGCAACGUAGGCGACAGCCCCCUGGAGCCCCGCCGGACUGCCAGUGAGAGUGUGAUUGCUGUCAAGGCCAGCUUCCCAUCCUCUACUCUGCCCCCACGCACUGGCAUGGCCCUCGGCCGGAAGGUGGGUUCUCAUUCUGUGGCCAGCCGUGCUACACAGCUCCUCGGGGACGGGAGAGUAGAUGCUGGCCCUGCAGAUCAGCCAGUUCCAUCUGGCUCAGUGGUGGGUCCAGCCAGGCUGGCCUCGGGACCCAGGCAGGCCCGGGAGGCCUCGCCGCUUGUGUCCUGUCGAACUAACAAGUUCCGGAAAAACAACUACAAAUGGGUGGCUGCCUCCGCGAAGAGUCCUCGGGCCGCUCGGAGGGUGCUCAGUCCCAGAGUGGCUGCAGAGAACGUGUGCAAGGCUGCAGCCGGUGUGGCAGGCAAGUUGGAGAAGCCACAGCUCAGAGCUGACCCAGAGCUCAAGCCCAGGAAGGCAGCUACAUCCUCCCAGCCAGGGUCUGCCCCCAGCAAGUACAAGUGGAAGGCAUCGAGCCCUUCUGCCUCCUCCUCUUCCUCCUUCCGUUGGCAGUCGGAGGCUAGCAGCAAGGAACGUGCCUCCCAGCUCUCCCCGGUCCUGUCUAGGUCCCCAUCAGGGGACGGACCAGCAGUAGGACCCAGUGGCUUGAAGCCCCUCUCUGGGGAGACCUCACCCUCAGCUUACAAAGUGAAGAGCCGCACCAAGAUCGUCCGGAGGCGGGGCAGUACCAGCCUUCCUGGAGACAAGAAAAGCAGCCCGUCACUUGCCACCACUGCCAAGAGCCACCUCAGCCUCCGGCGGAGACAGGCCCUCCGGGGGAAGAGCAGCCCCGUCCUGAAGAAGACCCCCAACAAGGGCCUGGUACAGGUCACCACACACCGGCUGUGCCGCCUGCCCCUGAGCCGGGCCCACCUCCCCACCAAGGAAGCAUCCAGCCUGCAUGCCCUGCGGACCCCACCCACGAGCAAGGUGAUCAAGACCCGCUACCGCAUCGUCAAGAAGACCCCGGCCUCAUCUCUUGGCGCCCCGCCCUUCCCCCUGUCUCUGCCCUCCUGGCGGGCCCGGCGGCUCUCACUGUCCAGGUCCCUGGUGCUGAACCGCCUGCGUCCAGUUGCCAGCGGGGGUGGGAAAGCACAACCAGGCUCCCCUCGGUGGCGGAGCAGAGGCUACCGCUGCAUCGGAGGGGUCCUCUACAAAGUGUCUGCCAACAAGCUCUCCAAGACCUCCGGCCAGCCUGGUGAUGCCAGCAGCAGGCCCCUCCUCCGCACAGGCCGACUGGACCCUGCAGGCAGCUGUAGCCGUUCCCUGGCCAGCCGGGCCGUGCAGCGCAGCCUGGCCAUCAUCCGCCAGGCGCGGCAGCGGAGGGAGAAGAAGAAGGAGUUCUGCAUGUACUACAACCGCUUCGGCAGGUGCAACCGCGGCGAGCGCUGCCCCUACAUCCACGACCCUGAGAAGGUGGCCGUGUGCACCAGGUUUGUCCGGGGCACCUGCAAGAAGACGGAUGGGACCUGCCCCUUCUCACACCAUGUGUCCAAGGAGAAGAUGCCAGUGUGCUCGUACUUUCUGAAGGGCAUCUGCAGCAACAGCAACUGCCCCUACAGUCACGUGUAUGUGUCCCGCAAGGCCGAGGUCUGCAGCGACUUCCUCAAAGGCUACUGCCCCCUGGGUGCAAAGUGCAAGAAGAAACACACACUGGUGUGCCCCGACUUCGCCCGCAGAGGGUCGUGUCCCCGGGGCACCCAGUGCCAGUUGCUCCACCGCAGCCAGAAACGCCACAGCCGGCGGGCAGCCACGUCCCCCGCCCCAGGACCCAGCGACACUGCUGCCAGGAGCAGGGCCUCGGCCAGCCACGGGCCCAGGAAGCCCUUGGCAGCCCAGCGCCCCACGAGGCAGACGCCCAGCUCUUCUGCCCUCACUGGGACUGCCCUGGCUGCGCCUCCCCACUCCCCAGGGGUGUUGGCCUCUCCCUCGUCCUCCAAGGCUUCCUCCUCCUCUUCUCCUUCCUCCUCUUCCUCCUCCCCCUCCUCCCUGUCCCCUGUCAAUUCCUUGGACCAGGAGGCCCCAUCUGUCCAGGAGGCCGCCUCAGCGGUGGCGCGCUCCAGCAGGCUCUGCAAGCUGCCUUCCUUCAUCUCCCUGCAGUCCUCGCCGAGCCCAGGAGGCCAGCCCAGGGCCCGGGCCCCCAGGGCCCCCCUGACCAAGGACUCAGCUCUCCGCGCGUUUGAGUGACGAUAAACCCCACGCAGCUCGGCGGGCUGCAAAUUUGCGACCAUACGGCUAUCAUUUUAUUGUCAUAUUUCACGGUCGUAACGUUAAUGGAAGAUGCUUGCUGCAGCCUUCUCCAGCAGCUCCGCUGAGCACGCUCAAACGCCUGCCUCGGAGGGGCUGCCUCCUGCUCACAGCCUCCACGUUGGGCGUGGAGUGUGGCCAGACCCCACCCCACGAGACCUGGGCACCCGCUCCCUCCAUCUGGGUGGGCCUCCCUGGGGUGGGGGAGCAGAUAGGCCCCCAGGCAGCCACCUCUUCUAUUUUUUUUUUAAGAUCAAGAACCCGGCAGCCAAUUCCAGAGCCAGCAGAGGUGGGCAGGGUGCUGAGGGGUCCCAUGUGCAGCUUGGGCGGGCCCUCAAAAGGCAGCCGUGGCCGGGCACUCGGGCAGGUGGAGGUGCCUGGGACGGUUUCUGGGUAGGAAGCUGGGCUGCAGUGCCGGCGCCGCCGCAGGGGCAGGCUGACAGGUCAGAGCCGGGUAGUCUGCUGCCUGGGCCCACAGCUGUGUGCAGGCGAGUGGGCUCAUCUGCCCUGAAGAGGGUCACCGGGGCAGGGCCAGUCCUGGGGCAGCUACACGGAGCGUCUGUGUUCAGUGGGCCGCCGUGGUGCCUGUGGGGUGGUCUGGGGAUCUGGGGAGGGAGGGGAGGUGCCAGCACCUAGUGAGUGAGCACUCACGGGGCAGGAGCCCCGAGGUCCCCCACUGUGGGAACUGCUCCCUCCCACACCGCCUGCCUCCAGGCCCUGCCCGCCUCACCCUGGGGCCUCUGUCCUGCCCUGCCUGUCCUGCCACAGCUUGUGUGCACCCUGGCUUUCCACGUGGAAGGUGCAGCAUGGCCGCCUCACGGGCCUGGCAGCCUCACUGCAGGUGGAAGCCUCUGCACAUCAAACCACGUUUGUGAGGACCCCAGGAACCGGCCUGCACCUACCUCAGACCCCCGUCCUUGGAGAGGAAAGAGGCU